rnacentral:rRNA from 1 species
AACCUGCCUAUAAGACUGGGAUAACUUCGGAAACCGGAGCUAAUACCGGAUACGUUCUUUUCUCGCAUGAGAGAAGAUGGAAAGACGGUUUACGCUGUCACUUAUAGAUGGGCCCGCGGCGCAUUAGCUAGUUGGUGAGGUAAUGGCUCACCAAGGCGACGAUGCGUAGCCGACCUGAGAGGGUGAUCGGCCACACUGGGACUGAGACACGGCCCAGACUUCUACGGGAGGCAGCAGUAGGGAAUCUUCCGCAAUGGACGAAAGUCUGACGGAGCAACGCCGCGUGAACGAAGAAGGCUUCGGGUCGUAAAGUUCUGUUGUUAGGGAAGAACAAGUACCAGAGUAACUGCUGGUACCUUGACGGUACCUAACCAGAAAGCCACGGCUAACUACGUGCCAGCAGCCGCGGUAAUACGUAGGUGGCAAGCGUUGUCCGGAAUUAUUGGGCGUAAAGCGCGCGCAGGUGGUUCCUUAAGUCUGAUGUGAAAGCCCACGGCUCAACCGUGGAGGGUCAUUGGAAACUGGGGAACUUGAGUGCAGAAGAGGAAAGUGGAAUUCCAAGUGUAGCGGUGAAAUGCGUAGAGAUUUGGAGGAACACCAGUGGCGAAGGCGACUUUCUGGUCUGUAACUGACACUGAGGCGCGAAAGCGUGGGGAGCAAACAGGAUUAGAUACCCUGGUAGUCCACGCCGUAAACGAUGAGUGCUAAGUGUUAGAGGGUUUCCGCCCUUUAGUGCUGCAUAACGCAUU